rnacentral:SRP_RNA from 1 species
GCCGGGCGUGGUGGCACGUGCCUGUAGUCCCAGCUACUCAGGAGGCUGAGGCAGGAGAAUCGCUUGAACCCAGGAGGCGGAGGUUGCAGUGAGCCGAGAUCGCACCACUGCACUCCAGCCUGGGUGACAGAGCGAGACUCUGUCUCAA